CCUACGGGAGGCAGCAGUGGGGAAUAUUGCACAAUGGGGGAAACCCUGAUGCAGCGACGCCGCGUGAGUGAAGAAGUAUUUCGGUAUGUAAAGCUCUAUCAGCAGGGAAGAAGAAAGACGGUACCUGACAAAGAAGCCCCGGCUAACUACGUGCCAGCAGCCGCGGUAAUACGUAGGGGGCAAGCGUUAUCCGGAUUUAUGGGGGGUAAAGGGAGCGUAGAGGGCAGGGCAAGUCUGAAGUGAAAGCCCAGGGCCCAACCCUGGGACUGCUUUGGAAACUGUGGGGCUGGAGUGCUGGAGAGGUAAGUGGAAUUCCUAGUGUAGCGGUGAAAUGCGUAGAUAUUAGGAGGAACACCAGUGGCGAAGGCGGCUUACUGGACUGUAACUGACGUUGAGGCUCGAAAGCGUGGGGAGCAAACAGGAUUAGAUACCCGGGUAGUC
rnacentral:rRNA from 1 species